rnacentral:rRNA from 1 species
UAGAGUUUGAUUAUGGCUCAGAUUGAACGCUGGCGGCAUGCCUUACACAUGCAAGUCGAACGGCAGCGCGGGAGCAAUCCUGGCGGCGAGUGGCGAACGGGUGAGUAAUAUAUCGGAACGUGCCCAGUAGUGGGGGAUAGCCCGGCGAAAGCCGGAUUAAUACCGCAUACGACCUACGGGUGAAAGGGGGGUAUCGCAAGACCUCUCGCUAUUGGAGCGGCCGAUAUCAGAUUAGGUAGUUGGUGGGGUAAAAGCCUACCAAGCCGACGAUCUGUAGUGGUCUGAGAGGACGACCAGCCACACUGGGACUGAGACACGGCCCAGAUUCCUACGGGAGGCAGCAGUGGGGAAUAUUGGACAAUGGGCGAAAGCCUGAUCCAGCCAUGCCGCGUGUGUGAAGAAGGUCUUCGGAUUGUAAAGCACUUUAAGUUGGGAGGAAGGGUUGUAGAUUAAUCUCUGCAAUUUUGACGUUACCGACAGAAUAAGCACCGGCUAACUCUGUGCCAGCAGCCGCGGAAUAC